GAAAAGUACAUUGCAAGAAGAAGAGGAAGAAGAAGAAGAAGGAGAGUUGAAGAAGAGUAAGAAGAACUGAAGAAGAAGAGUACAUUAAACAAACAUGGAUGCCCUUGAUGAGGAAGAGGAGACUAUAAUUUUACUUCUGUUGCAGCUGCAAAGGGAAAAGAAGCGUCGCCAUCGGAGGCGGUACUUGCGGCCCCUCAACCACAGCCGUCGAGAGAACGGGGAAUUUGUUUCCCAUGGUUUUACCGAUGCGCUUAAUUGACAAGGAGAAACACUGGGAGUAUUUCCGCAUGUCAGUCAGUGCUUUCAACGAUCUACUAUCACUGAUUGAACCCCAUAUCCAACACUGCCACACACACACUGAGCCAAUAACAUCAGCCGAGGGACUUGUUGUCACCCUCCGUUUCCUUGCCUCUGGAAUGAGCUUCAGAGAAUUGUCUGCCAGCUACAAAAUGGGCUCUGCAACCGUCGGAAAGAUUGAGUCUGCAAGGCAAUAUGGACUGCUCUGAAAGAUGUCUCUGUGGCAUACCCAGGUGAUGAGCAAUGGAGACAGAUCCAGGAGGAUUUCCUUGGCAUGUGGCAGUUUCCUAAUUGUGUGGGGGCGACAGACGGAAAGCACGUCCGAAUCUGUGCCCCCGUCAACAGUGGAAGUGCCUUUUAUAACUAUAAAGAGUACUUCAGCUUCAUCCUGAUGGCAGUCUGUGAUGCCCGUUACUGGUUCACCAUUGUGGACAUUGGUGCCUUUGGUAGAGACUGAUGCUGGCGUGUUCUCCAGAAGUGGCUUUGGCUCGCAACUCCUUCAGGGCAAGCUGUCUUUGCCACCUCCAGCUGUUUAACCUGGGAGUGAGGUACUCUGCUCCCCUGUCUUUGUUGCUGAUGAGGCUUUCCCUUUAAAAGUCAACUUGAUGCGACCAUAUUCAGGCACAAAUCUCUCUGCUGAGCAGCGGACAUAUAACUACCGUCAUUCCAGAGCCAGGAGGUUGGUAGAAAAUGCCUUUGGCAUUCUUGCCGCAAGGUGGAGGGUUUUUGGAGAGGCCAUGGAGUGCGCCCUGGAGACAGCAGAAGAUGUCAGUAAAGCCAUAUGUGGCUCUUCAUAACUUUCUGUGCUCAUCUUCCCAGGCCGAACGGGCAAGGUAUGUCUAGGGAUGUAAUGAUUACCGGUAAAAUGACAAACCGCGAUAAAAUUCCCUAUAGUAUUACCAUUUCAAAUGUGAAUUAUCAUUAAAAUCGUGAGAAAAGGGGUGGCAGCGCUGGGUGGAUCUUCAAAUAAAAUCAGUAAAACAGGUGCUCUUUGGUGAGGGUGCAAAGCAGCUUCAAAAAAUGUAUCAAGUUGAAUCCUUGCACAUACCAAAAAAGGAAGCAGUCAAAGUUAAAUGCAGGACAAAAACUUGAAAAACCAAGGGUUUAUCAUCAGGGUUGAUGAAGGCUCAUUUGAGGAGCUGAAACGUGUUGGUCCCUGUUUUUAACUUUGUACCAACCAUGCCACAAUAAAGGCUUUUUAACUUUUUUCUAAAACAGAGCUGCCUUUGUUUUUCAAGUUUUUGUCCCGCAUUUAAAUCUUCCUUUUUUGGUAUGUGCAAGGAUUCAACUUGAUACAUUUUUUGAACCAUUAAAAUCGUGUUUGAUCACGGCACUUAAAAAAAAAAAAAAAUCAUGGUACUGCUUAUUGCUCAUUUUAUUUAUAUUUUAUUUAUUUAUGUUAUUAUUUUAAUGUUUCUUCCAACAGAAAGUAUGUUGUGCUUGUUAUUUUAUUUGUGUUUUUCGAAAUAAAACUUUGACGAAAUGAUUUCAGAUGAUAAUAAUAAUAUUAUAAUAUAUAAAUAUAAUAAUGAUUUAUACUGUGUAUAAUUUUGGUCACAAUAACCGUGAUAUGAAUUUUUCAUACCGUUACAUCUCUAGGUAUGUCCCUGGCAACUUCACUGGAUGCAGCUCCAUUGCAUUUCUUUUGCCCCAUGGCUUGAUCUUGCUCUGUCGCAGUUUGAACAUCCGCUGGAAGUGUUUCAGAAGUUCAGUGUCUUCAAGUUUAUUUCUCAGCAGCAGCAUUUCCAAUAUUGUUCCAAGUUUUUUCAGUUUUUUUGUGUGUUUCACAGCAGAUUGCAAACAGGUUUGAUCGAUGUGGUAACAGAACAUUUGUGGCUGUACUUGACUCAUUUUAAUGACUAUAUGCAGUAACUGUCUUACCUGAACCCAAACUGUAGCAUUCCUUCUCCUGCGUCACAGACUUGGGAGGAGAAGUGAAAUAAACAAACAUGGAACAGUAGUUUUACUGUAUGUAAGCUACAUAUUACUGCAUCUUGCUAACUCGGCCAUUCUGGAUGUCACUAACUCGGCUUCUUCUCCGGAGCCUUUGUGCUCCACUGUCUCUCAGAUUAACUCAUAUCGCAGCGGUGCCU